rnacentral:rRNA from 1 species
UACGGAGGGUGCGAGCGUUGUCCGGAAUUACUGGGCGUAAAGAGCUCGCAGGUGGUUUGUCGCGUUGUUCGUGAAAACUCACAACUCAAUUGUGGGCGUGCGGGCGAUACGGGCAGACUGGAGUACUGCAGGGGAGACUGGAAUUCCUGGUGUAGCGGUGAAAUGCGCAGAUAUCAGGAGGAACACCGGUGGCGAAGGCGGGUCUCUGGGCCGAUCCUGACGCUGAGGAGCGAAAGCGUGGGGAGCGAACAGG